rnacentral:tRNA from 1 species
GGAAGGAUCGCAUAGUGGUCGAGUGCACCGCCUUGGAAAGGCGGCAGGCUCGAAAGGGUCUCGGGGGUUCGAAUCCCCCUCCUUCCGCCA